rnacentral:tRNA from 1 species
GGCCCCUUGGUCAAGCGGUUAAGACACCGCCCUUUCACGGCAGUAACAGGAGUUCGAGUCUCCUAGGGGUCA